rnacentral:rRNA from 1 species
UACGUAGGUGGCAAGCGUUGUCCGGAUUUACUGGGCGUAAAGAGCGCGCAGGCGGUCGUUCAAGUCGCGUGUGAAAGCCCCCGGCUCAACUGGGGAGGGUCACGCGAUACUGAUCGACUCGAAGGCAGGAGAGGGAAGUGGAAUUCCCAGUGUAGCGGUGAAAUGCGUAGAUAUCGUAAGGAAGACCAGUGGCGAAGGCGGGUCUCUGGACAGUUCCUGACGCUGAGGCACGAAGGUCAGGGGAGCAAACGGG